rnacentral:lncRNA from 1 species
AGGCUUCCGGAGCAGUCAGCUGGAGCGCCCUGGCACUAAGUGCGUUCCUCUGGCAAAGAAGAAAAUAAUUUCUGUCCCUCGCCAUCUGCUGCAUGGGAAGAUGGGAAUGGAGUGAGCACGGUAUGAGGGGAUCAGGAACGUCAAGGGGCUGUGUCCAGCUGCCCAAACCAUCCAAGAGGCCGGCACCGUGCUGAGGACAGUGGCGGGGACAGGAGCCAAGGUUCAUCAUCGUACCCCAAGGCCUGGGCAAGACAGAUGCUGCGUCCUGCAAUGGCCCCACCAUGGACCCUCGUCAUCCAACCGAAGUCGCCCCCUUGCCUGGCUUU